GAGAUUUAUCGGAGGUCGUCGCCACUGUUGCCAAAUAAACAUCCAUUUGAAGCUUUUGGUUUUAUUUUCCGAUUCGGAGAUUUAUCGGAGGUCGUCUCCACUGUUGCCAAAUAAACAUCCCUUUGAAGCUUUUGGUAGGAGAGGAUUACCAGAUGGAAUGAUGGCAGAAGCCGGGUUGCACAUGGGAGGCAUAUAGUCUUUUUGGGGAUUAACCCAACCCACUUUGCUUUUGGGAGGAAGAGGACCAUCAUUUAGGGAUUGUAAGAAAGAAGGGAUAAACCUAAGGUAAGAAAACCUGCUUUUGUACCAAUGGCUCGUGAAGGAAAGAAGGGAUAAACCUAAGGAACCGGUGGAAAGGUUAAUGCAAUUACAACCUACAAUGACCACCUAUUUGCUGCCAUUCAGGUAGUUCUAUAUAAUCAAUUUUGAACUAAUUCAUUGGUUUUAUUCAAACAACAGAAAGCAGGGCUUUUGACCGCCUUCUCGACCCCUGGGGCUGUCCAAAGGCAUACAAUUUGCUUGUAUCAAGUGAGGUGAAGCGUUUUUUAAAUCUGAAGCUAAAAGGAACAUUUGUAUGUUGUUGUUCAUGUUUAUGUUGUGUAAUUGUUUUGGAUCGYUUCAUGAUUCAUGUUCUCCUCGAAAAUGAAGUUCAUGCGAUUUGUAAAACACUAACCAUGAUGCCUAUUUCUAAGUUCAUGUUAUAUGUAUUAAUAUGUAAAAAAAAACUAAGAGCAAAUCAUACCAAU